AUUGAACGCUGGCGGCAUGCCUUACACAUGCAAGUCGAACGGCAGCACGGGAGCAAUCCUGGUGGCGAGUGGCGAACGGGUGAGUAAUAUAUCGGAACGUGCCCAGUCGUGGGGGAUAACGUAGCGAAAGCUACGCUAAUACCGCAUACGAUCUAUGGAUGAAAGCGGGGGAUCGCAAGACCUCGCGCGAUUGGAGCGGCCGAUAUCAGAUUAGGUAGUUGGUGAGGUAAGGCUCACCAAGCCGACGAUCUGUAGCUGGUCUGAGAGGACGACCAGCCACACUGGGACUGAGACACGGCCCAGACUCCUACGGGAGGCAGCAGUGGGGAA
rnacentral:rRNA from 1 species